rnacentral:lncRNA from 1 species
ACUGGGCACUGACCUGUGAGUGGUGGUUCAUGGGCAAAUGAGUGGAAACGUUAUUAUCCCUUGUCCAGAGGAAACUGGGCAGUACCAGAAGCACCACCUGUGGCACCCAGAGCUGCUCAGAGGAAGGUCUGAAAAUCACAAACCUCAGACUAACCCCUUCAUUUGAGAAACUGGGGCCCAGAGGGCUGAAGUGACUUUUGCAGUGUCAUGAAAUUGUCAACCAAAGGACUGAAUCCCAGCGCACUGUGCUUUCAGCUGUUUUACCCUAUAUUCCUGAAGGAUGAGUUCUAUAGAAUAGAUUAGCUCCUAUCAGUGGGUAGCCCUCUAGGGAGAGAACUGUCAGAGGGUUUUGUUCACACCUUGUUUCAAAUGCUGCUGCUCCUUCAGGACUGUGGACACGGAGACCUGCUUCCUAAGACUUCCCUCCCCACUUGGCAAUCAUCUUGAAUUUGUAUUAGAAGUAAGGAAAUGGGACUGCUUUCUCCAAAUAUUUAUAAUGACUUUAUUGCUCUGAAUUGCCACACAUCAGAGAGAACUUUUAACCAUUAGGGGUCUUGACUUCCUAUUUGUGAAAAGUGGAGUGACUCUGAUCAAGAAGGCUCAACUCCUUUUGGUUGGAGAUCACAGGAAUGGCAUCAUGUCAUGAUGGCCAUAGGGGAGCCACACCAGCUGUACUGUCCCCAGUGGAAAGAGCCAGGACCCAGGACAGGCAGUGACAGCUUCCCAGAGCACAAAUACUGUUGACUUGGGAGGUACCACUGGCAAAGUGGCCUGUGAAGAUCACCUUGUUGUAGCCUUGGUUCCUUGCCCUCCAGAGAGCUGACACCCCUUCACUGGGCUGGAUGAGCAGGAGAGACAGAGACACCUGGCCCUCCCGGAACAGAGUGAAGCUGACAAGGGAACCCCCUGUCGAAGACCCACUAAGAUACACUUCCUCCAGUGCUGUAGGUGUGGCCUAUCCCCAUUAUGAGGAUCCCAGUCAGGCUCAGCAAUGGCAACACCAGAUUUGCUUCUGGAGUUCCAGCUGGAUCUUCUAGAUGAAGCUGGGACGAUGAAUGGAAAAGAUACAAAGUGAAAAGUUGAGUCACAUGGAGGGGAUCCUCUUGGACCACCCUUAUCCUGGCUUCUUUUCCACCUGCCUCUAGGAAGCUUAAGCUUCUAGCUUUCCUAAACAAGGAUGGUGUCUACAUUUGUGAACCAGAGAGGAACUCUGCAUGAAGUCUUGAAAGGUGAGUCUUCAUUAGCCAAGAGACAAAGGCAUAUUGGGAAGGAGCGCCUACCAGGCAGAAGGGAAAGCAUGUGCAAAGCGUGAAGAUAGGAAAUCAAGUUCUGUUUGGAACUAAUGGUGGUACAGGUGGCUCAGGUGUAUGUGAAAAGGCAGGAGAUGAAGCUGGAAAGAAGACCCUCUGCACCACACUUUCAGGGUAAAAUCCACUCUCCUUAGUAUGGCAAUGAAGACUCUUCAACCCUCAGGAUUUCCAGAUUGAAAGGCCUUCCUCCCACACAGAUAAAGACACACCCUUAAGCCCCUCAUGAACUUGGAAUAAGACAGAUCUAGGUUUAAAUACAUGCUCUGCAACAUACAACCUACUUGAUCUUGGGAAAGUUGUUUAAAAUCUCUGGACCCCAAUUUUCCUAUCUCUAAAAUGGGAAUUAAGUACAUUUACCUCAAAGAGAUGAUGUGAGGACUUAGUUAUGAGAAAUACAAUAUAGAAGCAACGCUGAGUAGUUAUGCUGCGAGCCACAUGGGAAGUCUUUAAAAAAUAAAUACAUUUACAUAUUAAAAACAAAAAAACCCCAUGUCACUGGGGGAAGGACAGUGAACCCUUCCCAGAGCAUGUGUGAAGACCGACUCUGGCUGGAAAAACUGAGAAGAAAGAAUACUGCAUACUCCUGUAGGGACAGCAGGAGACUUCCUGGACUCAGAGGAUUAGAGAUUUCCUAACACUCAAGUGAGGGGCAGGAUCACUGCCAACCCCUGCCCAAACCAGGGGUACAGCGCCUGCCUAUGAUCAAGGCUGAGCCAGAAUAACAGAGAGUACAUUUCUUCUCCCCACCAGACUGGAUACUGUCAAGGGAAAGGCAACCACGUUAAGCCAGGAGAGGAGACAAGGCCAUGCAGAGAGACUCUGAGACCCAAGCAUACAGGGAAGGGUGAAAGUGAGGGUGAAAUAGGAACACGGAGAAGUGUCCUCUGUCUAAACAAUACCCACCUUAAGCACGGAAUAACUGAAGAAAUUUGAGGCCAAUGGUGAAUUCAGGGUCACCAUAGCAAUAAAAAACCCAAACCCAGCUCAACGACUGACUUUACUGGGUGAACCACCCCUGUCCCCAACCCUGGCCUCCAGCACACAGGAAUGGCCUAGGAGAAGAGGUGUCUCAUUUCUAUGCAUAAGUUCUAUUUGUUUGAGUCUAUACUCUUUUAAACUUUGUGCCUGACAAUAAAUAAAAAAUUAUGAGACAAACACAAAAAAGCAAGAAAAAACAAUCCGUGGUAAAGAGUAAAGUGAACCAUAGAAUCAGACUCAGAGAUAACCCAGAUAUUGGAAUGAUUACAGACAGGGACAGUUAGAGACAUGAGGUAUGUCUUUGAUGGGUCUGGGAUGGUUAAUUUUAUGUGUUAAGUUGACUGGGCUAAAGGGGCCCAGAUAACUGGUAAAUCAUCAUUUCUAUGUAUGUCUUUGAAGGUGUUUCCAGAGAGAAAACUGAUUCAAGAUAGGCUGAGUGAAUAUGGCCCUCACCCCUAACCAGUGUAGGUGGGCCUAAUCUAAUCCACUGAGGACUGGAAGAGGAUGAAAAAAUGAAGGGAGGCUGACUUUGGUCUCUGCUUGAGCUGGGACUCCUGUCUUCCUCAGGCAUCAGCGUUUCCCGUUCUCAGGCCUUUGGUCUUGGACCAGGAUGUUCGUGAAUCUCUCUCUCCAGACUCAGUAAUAGGAAAAUAAACAACCCAAUUAAAAAUGGGCAAAGUUUAAACAUUUCUCCAAAGAAGAUAUUCAGACCUCAAAUGUACGUAUAAAAAGAUGCUCAACAUCCUCAGAUAGUAGGAAAAUUAAAAGUCUAAUGAGGUAACACUAUACAGCUAUUAGAAUUCCUAAAAGAAUAUGACAGUUAUCAAGUGCUGACAAAAAAGUGGAGCAACUGAAACUUGCGUGUAUCGCUGAGAGAGGAUAAAAUAUGGUGCAGACACGUGUUUGGAAAUUUCUUAUAAUGUUAAAAUAGAUUUAUUGUACUACCCAGCAUGAUCGCCACCCAAGAGAAAUGAAAACUCAACGUUACACAAAAACCUGUAUGUGAAUAUAUAGAGAAGGUUUAUUCACAACUGCCAAAAACUGGACGUAAGUCAAAUGUCUUUCAUUUCUAUGUAAACAAACUGGGAUACAUCCAGGUAAUGGAAUACUACUCAGCAAUAAAAAGGAACAAACUUCUGAUAGACACACAAUGUAUGAAUCUAAAAUGUAUUAUGGUAAGAAAAAGAACCUACACUACAAAGGCUUAUAUGACAUUCUGGAAAAGGCAAAACCAUAGGGAAGAGAAUUGAUUAAGGGGUUGGGGCAAAGAUUGACCACGAAGAGACAUGAGAUAAUGUUUUGGGUGAUAGAACUGUUCUAUAUCUUGAGUGUGGUAAUGGUCACAUUAUUGUCAAAACUCACAGAACUGUAGAUUAAAAGCGGUGAAUUUACUGUAUAUAUAUUGUACUUCAAUAAAUUUAAUU